UACGUAGGUGGCGAGCGUUAUCCGGAAUUACUGGGUGUAAAGGGUGUGUAGGCGGGGAUGCAAGUCAGAUGUGAAAUCCAUGGGCUCAACCUAUGGUGUGCAUUUGAAACUGCGUUUCUUGAGUGUGGGAGAGGUAAGCGGAAUUCCUAGUGUAGCGGUGAAAUGCGUAGAUAUUAGGAGGAACACCAGUGGCGAAGGCGGCUUACUGGACCACAACUGACGCUGAGACACGAAAGCGUGGGGAGCAAACAGGAUUAGAUACCCUGGUAGUCCACGCUGUAAACGAUGAAUGCUAGGUGUAGGGGGCUUGACCCUCUGUGCCGGAGUUAACACAAUAAGCAUUCCACCUGGGGAGUACGGCCGCAAGGUUGAA
rnacentral:rRNA from 1 species